AGUAAUCGAAGCCACUUCCCUUCCAUCCUGGACUUCUCCAGAACCAUUACCUUAUUGACUACUUGAGCAAACAAAUGGAACCCAGUAGUCGGGACAAAGAUCUCAAACCAGCUUCAAUUCAUUCAGUUCUCGUCCGACUUUCGAAGCGUUCCAUUUUUUGUUAACACCAAAAUUUCUCCAUGUUUAUUUUUUUUGAUUUGAUUUGAUAAAUUAGAGCAAGUUAAGAUCGAAUUGGAAGAGCUUUGAAACAUGCCCUGUUGCAAGCGUCACGAAAUCCGCCGUAACCCGUGCCGCCGCCCAUCCUUUCUGGCCCGCCUCAACUGCCUUGAAUGCAAUCGACUGCUAAUCUUCAUGGUCGGAGUAGGACUUGGGGCGCUCUACAUACGCAAGUUCAAUGAAGCCCCGCAAACUGACAAGAAGAAAAAGUAGUCCCGGUCUAAAGACGGAGCAAAGCAGCGCUUGGGAUCAGUGCUCAAGGGAUGCAUCGAGAUGGAUGGUUCUGGACAUUGAACAUCCCAACAAAGCACCCUGCCAGCUCUACACCGUAUCGAUGCCACUUGGAAGGAGUGAUAAGGAUGGUUCUGGAAGUCAAGAAGCUCCGAGUCUCCGAUCAAGCCUUACGCAAGGAUCCGAGAAGUCCAACAGCAGAGCAAUUCGCUAAUUUGGCAAUUGGUAAUCGAUCAAGUUACAAUA